CCUACGGGGGGCAGCAGUGAGGAAUAUUGGUCAAUGGACGAGAGUCUGAACCAGCCAUGUCGCGUGCAGGAUGACUGCCCUAUGGGUUGUAAACUUCUUUUAUAUGGGAAUAAACUGUUCCACGUGUGGGAUUUUGUAUGUAUAAUAUGAAUAAGGAUCGGCUAACUCCGUGCCAGCAGCCGCGGUAAUACGGAGGAUCCGAGCGUUAUCCGGAUUUAUUGGGUUUAAAGGGUGCGUAGGUGGUUUGUUAAGUUAGUUGUGAAAGAUUGCGGCUCAACCGUAAAAUUGCAGCUGAAACUGGCGGUCUUGAGUAUAGUAGAGGUAGGCGGAAUUCGUGGUGUAGCGGUGAAAUGCUUAGAGAUCACGAAGAACACCGAUUGCGAAGGCAGCUCACUGGACUGCAACUGACACUGAGGCUCGAAAGUGUGGGUAUCAAACAGGAUUAGAUACCCGUGUAGUC
rnacentral:rRNA from 1 species